rnacentral:rRNA from 1 species
AUGGCCGCGGCGGAGCGGCUCCGAUCGGUGCCGUUCGACGUGGAUAUCACGGUGCCCGUGCGGCUGCAGCUCGGCGGCGUGAGGACGUGGGUCGUGCCGGUGACGGUUCGGUGCGCCAUGACGGUGGACAGGCUCGCCGCCAGCGCCAAGGUGGUGUCCAGGCCGUGCGACGUCAAUGUGUCGUUCUUGUUCCGUUCUGGAGGAACUGACGCCGCCGAUGCAAGAAAAAAUGGCUAA